GAUGAAGAACGCAGCGAAAUGCGAUAAGUAAUGUGAAUUGCAGAAUUCAGUGAAUCAUCGAAUCUUUGAACGCACAUUGCGCCCAUUAGCAUUCUAGUGGGCAUGCCUGUUCGAGCGUCAUUUCAACCCUUAAGCCCUGUUGCUUAGCGUUGGGAGCCUACAGUACUGUAGCUCCCCAAAGUUAGUGGCGGAGUCGGUUUCACACUCUAGACGUAGUAAUUUUUUCUCGUCUGUAGUUGAGCCGGUCCCCUGCCGUAAAACACCCAAUUUAUCAAGGUUGACCUCGGAUCAGGUAGGAAUACCCGCUGAACUUAAGCAUAUCAAUAAGCGGAGG
rnacentral:misc_RNA from 1 species